rfam:Trachymyrmex cornetzi contig39418, whole genome shotgun sequence.
AGGUUUUAAUCGGUAGGCGCCGGACCGAACUUCGGCUCGGGGCGACGAAUCCGACACUGCCCGGGAUGGUUCCCCGGGCGUCUUUUGAAGAUUUCCU